GGAUAACCUACCCUUAGGACCGGGAUAACCCUGGGAAACUGGGGAUAAUACUGGAUAGGCAAUUUUUCCUGUAAUGGUUUUUUGUUUAAAUGUUUUUUCGCCUAAGGAUGGGUCUGCGGCCGAUUAGGUAGUUGGUUAGGUAAUGGCUUACCAAGCCGUUGAUCGGUACGGGUUGUGAGAGCAAGAGCCCGGAGAUGGAACCUGAGACAAGGUUCCAGGCCCUACGGGGUGCAGCAGGCGCGAAACCUCCGCAAUGUGAGAAAUCGCGACGGGGGGAUCCCAAGUGCCAUUCUUAACGGGAUGGCUUUUCAUUAGUGUAAAGAGCUUUUGGAAUAAGGGCUGGGCAAGACCGGUGCCAGCCGCCGCGGUAACACCGGCAGCUCUAGUGGUAGCAGUUUUUAUUGGGCCUAAAGCGUCCGUAGCCGGUUUAAUAAGUCUCUGGUGAAAUCCUGUAGCUUAACUGUGGGAAUUGCUGGAGAUACUAUUAGACUUGAGACCGGGAGAGGUUAGAGGUACUCCCAGGGUAGAGGUGAAAUUCUGUAAUCCUGGGAGGACCGCCUGUUGCGAAGGCGUCUAACUGGAACGGUUCUGACGGUGAGGGACGAAAGUUAGGGGCGCGAACCGGAUUAGAUACCCGGGUAGUCCUAACUGUAAACGAUGCGGACUUGGUGUUGGGGUGGCUUUGAGCUGCUCCAGUGCCGAAGGGAAGCUGUUAAGUCCGCCGCC
rnacentral:rRNA from 1 species